UACGUAGGGGGCAAGCGUUGUCCGGAAUCAUUGGGCGUAAAGCGCGUGUAGGCGGUUCGGUAAGUCGGCUGUGAAAGUCCAGGGCUCAACCCUGGGAUGCCGGUCGAUACUGCCGGACUAGAGUUCGGAAGAGGCGAGUGGAAUUCCCGGUGUAGCGGUGAAAUGCGCAGAUAUCGGGAGGAACACCAAUGGCGAAGGCAGCUCGCUGGGACGUUACUGACGCUGAGGAGCGAAAGCGUGGGGAGCAAACAGG
rnacentral:rRNA from 1 species